rnacentral:rRNA from 1 species
CCCUUAGAUGUUCUGGGCUGCACGCGCGCUACACUGACGGGUGCAACGAGUUUAUACACUUGGCCGAUAGGUCUGGUUAAUCUUUUGAACGCCCGUCGUGCUGGGGAUAGAUGAUUGGAAUUAUUCAUCUUCAACGAGGAAUACCUAGUAAGCGCAAGUCAUCAGCUUGCGUUGAUUACGUCCCUGCCCCUUGUACACACCGCCCGUCGCUGCUACUGAUGGAUGGUUCGGUGAACUUGUCGGAUUGUGAUGAAAUGCUAGUGCUUCGGUGCUAGUAUCGUUGUAAGAAGCCAAGUAAAUCGGAUUAUCUAGAGGAAGCAAAAGUCGUAACA